GAUGAACGCUGGCGGCGUGCCUAAUACAUGCAAGUCGAGCGAACAGACGAGGAGCUUGCUCCUCUGACGUUAGCGGCGGACGGGUGAGUAACACGUGGAUAACCUACCUAUAAGACUGGGAUAACUUCGGGAAACCGGAGCUAGUACCGGAUAAUAUAUUGAACCGCAUGGUUCAAUAGUGAAAGACGGUUUUGCUGUCACUUAUAGAUGGAUCCGCGCCGCAUUAGCUAGUUGGUAAGGUAACGGCUUACCAAGGCAACGAUGCGUAGCCGACCUGAGAGGGUGAUCGGCCACAAUGGAACUGAGACACGGUCCAGACUCCUACGGGAGGCAGCAGUAGGGAAUCUUCCGCAAUGGGCGAAAGCCUGACGGAGCAACGCCGCGUGAGUGAUGAAGGUCUUCGGAUCGUAAAACUCUGUUAUUAGGGAAGAACAAAUGUGUAAGUAACUAUGCACGUCUUGACGGUACCUAAUCAGAAAGCCACGGCUAACUACGUG
rnacentral:rRNA from 1 species